rnacentral:rRNA from 1 species
GACGAACGCUGGCGGCGUGCUUAACACAUGCAAGUCGAGCGGUAAGGCCCUUUCGGGGGUACACGAGCGGCGAACGGGUGAGUAACACGUGGGUGACCUGCCCUCAGCUCUGGGAUAAGCCUGGGAAACCGGGUCUAAUACUGGAUAUGACUCCAUGACGCAUGUUGUGGGGUGGAAAGCCUUGUGCGGCUGAGGAUGGGCCCGCGGCCUAUCAGCUUGUUGGUGGGGUGAGGCCUACCAAGGCGACGACGGGUAGCCGGCCUGAGAGGGCGACCGGCCACACUGGGACUGAGACACGGCCCAGACUCC